rnacentral:rRNA from 1 species
GUACACGCUGUGACUAGCAUAUCAAUAAGCGGAGGAAAAGAAACUAACAAGGAUUCCCCUAGUAACGGCGAGUGAAGCGGGAAGAGCUCAAAUUUGAAAUCUUAAAGGGUUUCCCUUUACGAAUUGUAGUUUAAAGAAGUGUUUUCUGUUGAGGUUUUGGUAAAAGUUCUUUGGAAUAGGACAUCAUAGAGGGUGAGAAUCCCGUAUUUGACCUUUACUUUCAACUUUGUGAUACACUUUCAAAGAGUCGGAUUGUUUAGGGAAUGCAGUCCAAAAUGGGUGGUAAAUUUCAUCUAAAGCUAAAUAUUGGCGAGAGACCGAUAGCGAACAAGUACCGUGAGGGAAAGAUGAAAGGAACUUUGAAAAGAGAGUUAAACAGUACGUGAAAUUGUCAAAAGGGAAGCGUUUGACACCAGUGUUGUUUUUCUGAAAAUCAAUUAAAGAACUGUUUAUGCUAAGUUGUUUAGACUUUAUCAGCUAACUGUUUAGUUUUGAGCUUUUCUUUAAUGCACUUUUCAGUUAACAAGUCAACAUCAAUUUCUUUUGCUGUAAAAAAGCUUGAGGAAGGUGGCUUGAGAUUCGUCUUAAGUGUUUAUAGCCUCUUGCCUAUGCAGUCGGAGAGAUUGAGGUCUGCAGCGUAGAUCCUUCGGGGCUAAAUGCAUUUGUGCUAAGUUAUAGCAUUUCAUAGACAACUUGUUGACUAUGAUUUGUCUUGUAGCUUACUCGCUUAUGUUAUUUUACCUACGCUUAGGAUGUUGACUGAUAUGUAGUCGUA